UGGGGGAUAUUGCACAAUGGGGGGAACCCUGAUGCAGCAACGCCGCGUGGGUGAAGAAGCGCUCCGGCGCGUAAAGCCCUGUCGGCAGGGAAGAAGCGGGGCCGCGAGGCUCCGGACGGUACCUGCAUAAGAAGCCCCGGCUAACUACGUGCCAGCAGCCGCGGUAAUACGUAGGGGGCAAGCGUUAUCCGGAUUUACUGGGUGUAAAGGGAGCGCAGACGGCGCGCCAAGUCCGGAGUGAAAGCCCGCGGCCCAACCGCGGGACUGCUCUGGAAACUGGCGCGCUUGAGUGCAGGAGGGGUAAGCGGAAUUCCUGGUGUAGCGGUGAAAUGCGCAGAUAUCAGGAGGAACACCGGCGGCGGAGGCGGCUUACUGGACUGCUACUGACGUUGAGGCUCGAAAGCGUGGGGAGCAAACAGG
rnacentral:rRNA from 1 species